rnacentral:lncRNA from 1 species
GCCAUGUUGUCACCCCAGACGCCACCAUCUUGUCACCGCCACGUUGUCACCACCACGCUGUCACCACCACAUUGUCACCAUACAGACACCACCACAUUGUCACCGCCAUGUUGUCACUGCCACGUUGUCACCACCAUAUUGACACCAGACACCACCACAUUGUCACCGCCACCUUGUCACCAUACAGACACCGCCACGUUGUCACCGUCACCUUGUCACCAUCUUGUCACCGCCACGUUGUCACCAUACAGACACCGCCAUGUUGUCACCGCCAUCUUGUCACUCCCGUUUCAGGGCCGGGGGCCGUUGGCAGCGCCGCCAGCGGCGGUAGUUGAGGAAGAGGAGCGCGGCGUUGACCGCGUAGGUGCUGAGGCAGACGAGGCAGAGGUCGCGGAGGCCGAAGGCCAACACCAGCGCCAGGUACAGCGAGGCCACCACCGACGUCACCGACGUCACCA